AUUCUACUCCCUCCGUUGCACAAUAAAUGCCUUCUAUUUGUCAAAAUAUAUAUGUAUCUAGACAUGUUUUAGUAUAUAGGUACAUUCAUUUUGGACAAAUGGAAGUCAAGUAUUUUGGAACGGAGGGAGUACACA
rnacentral:pre_miRNA from 1 species